rnacentral:rRNA from 1 species
GACAGAGGAUGCAAGCGUUAUCCGGAAUGAUUGGGCGUAAAGCGUCUGUAGGUGGCUUUUUAAGUCCGCCGUCAAAUCCCAGGGCUCAACCCUGGACAGGCGGUGGAAACUACCAAGCUGGAGUACGGUAGGGGCAGAGGGAAUUUCCAGUGAAGUGGUGAAAUACGUAGAUAUUGGAAAGACCACCAAUGGCGAAGGCACUCUACUGGGCCACUACUGACACUGAGAGACGAAAGCUAGGGGAGCAAAUGGG